CUUAACAGGAUUAGAUACCCUGGUAGUCCACGCCCUAAACGAUGUACACUAGUUGUUGUGAGGCUCGACCUUGCAGUAAUGCAGUUAACACAUUAAGUGUACCGCCUGGGGAGUACGGUCGCAAGAUUAAAACUCAAAGGAAUAGACGGGGACCCGCACAAGCGGUGGAGCAUGUGGUUUAAUUCGACGAUACACGAAGAACCUUACCUGGACUUGACAUAGUAAGAACUUUCUAGAGAUAGAUUGGUGUCUGCUUGCAGAAACUUAUAUACAGGUGCUGCACGGCUGUCGUCAGCUCGUGUCGUGAGAUGUUGGGUUAAGUCCUGCAACGAGCGCAACCCUCGUCAUUAGUUGCUAACAGUUCGGCUGAGAACUCUAAUGAGACUGCCUACGCAAGUAGGAGGAAGGUGAGGACGACGUCAAGUCAUCAUGGCCCUUACGUCCAGGGCUACACACGUGCUACAAUGGGGUAUACAAAGAGCAGCAAUACGGUGACGUGGAGCAAAUCUCAAAAAUAUCUCCCAGUUCGGAUUGUAGUCUGCAACUCGACUACAUGAAGUUGGAAUCGCUAGUAAUCGUAGAUCAGCUAUGCUACGGUGAAUACGUUCCCGGGUCUUGUACUCACCGCCCGUCACACCAUGGGAGUUGAACUCAUUCGAAGCGGGGAUGCUAAAAUAGCUACCUUCCACAGUGGAUUCAGCGACUGGGGUGAAGUCGUAACAAGGUAACC
rnacentral:rRNA from 1 species